AUUGAACGCUGGCGGCAGGCCUAACACAUGCAAGUCGAGCGGCAGCGACUUAACUGAACCUUCGGGGAACGUUAAGGGCGGCGAGCGGCGGACGGGUGAGUAAUGCCUGGGAAUAUGCCCUGAUGUGGGGGAUAACUAUUGGAAACGAUAGCUAAUACCGCAUAAUCUCUUCGGAGCAAAGAGGGGGACCUUCGGGCCUCUCGCGUCAGGAUUAGCCCAGGUGGGAUUAGCUUGUUGGUGAGGUAAUGGCUCACCAAGGCGACGAUCCCUAGCUGGUCUGAGAGGAUGAUCAGCCACACUGGAACUGAGACACGGUCCAGACUCCUACGGGAGGCAGCAGUGGGGAAUAUUGCACAAUGGGGGAAACCCUGAUGCAGCCAUGCCGCGUGUGUGAAGAAGGCCUUCGGGUUGUAAAGCACUUUCAGUAGGGAGGAAGGUAGUGUAGUUAACACCUGCAUUAUUUGACGUUACCUACAGAAGAAGCACCGGCUAACUCCGUGCCAGCAGCCGCGGUAAUACGGAGGGUGCGAGCGUUAAUCGGAAUUACUGGGCGUAAAGCGCAUGCAGGCGGCCUGUUAAGUCAGAUGUGAAAGCCCGGGGCUUAACCUCGGAAUUGCAUUUGAAACUGGCAGGCUAGAGUCUUGUAGAGGGGGGUAGAAUUUCGUGUAGCGGUGAAAUGCGUAGAGAUCUGAAAGAAUACCAGUGGCGAAGCGGCCCCCUGGACAAAGACUGACGCUCAGAUGCGAAAGCGUGGGGAGCAAACAGG
rnacentral:rRNA from 1 species